rnacentral:lncRNA from 1 species
AAUAUUUUAUGUGCAGUUUUCAAGUUCCUGGUGUAAUAUUUACAUGUAAGAAACCUUUUAUUUCAAGAUGCAAACCCCCUAUUUUUUAAAAAAUUGGUUUUUUUGCUCUGAAGUGAUUUUUUAGAUAACCACUUAAGACAGGAACAAAAGUGGUCUCAUAUGUGUGGUAUCUCUUAUUUGUUUUCAGAUUUUGCAUGCUGCCUGGUAUGCCCAGCCCUUCAAUUACCUCACUGCUAAUGUCAGCUUAGUUACCAGAUAUAUUUUACAAUUAUACAGUGCGUGUCUCAAAGAAUCAUCCAGAUAUCAAAGUACUACUCCAGCUCAUUAGUGCUCCCUGCUGUGCCUAAAUAUAACUUUGUAUCUGGCAACACCUCCUAGCUGCAUAAGGACUGUUUGGCCUCCUCCAAGAUCCAGCAAAAAAAGGGUGCACUGUGAUAUGUGUUGAGGUAAGUUUGUG